rnacentral:tRNA from 1 species
GGAGGGUUGCCGGAGCGGUUUAUCGGGCUGGUCUUGAAAACCAUUGAGGAUGCAAGUCCUCCGAGGGUUCGAAUCCCUCACCCUCCGCCA